CCUACGGGAGUCAGCAGUGGGGAAUAUUGGACAAUGGGGGGAACCCUGAUCCAGCGACGCCGCGUGAGUGAAGAAGUAUUUCGGUAUGUAAAGCUCUAUCAGCAGGGAAGAAAAUGACGGUACCUGAAUAAGAAGCCCCGUCUAACUACGUGCCAGCAGCCGCGGGAAGCCGUAGGGGGCAAGCGUUAUCCGGAUUUACUGGGUGUAAAGGGAGCGUAGACGGUGCAGCAAGUCUGAUGUGAAAGGUCGGGGCCCAACCCCGGGACUGCAUUGGAAACUGUUGAACGGGAGUACAGGAGAGGUAAGCGGAAGUCGUAGUGGAGCGGUGAAAGGCGUAGAUAUUAGGAGGAACACCAGUGGCGAAGGCGGCUUAUGGGACUGUAACUGACGUUGAGGCUCGAAAGCGUGGGGAGCAAACAGGAUUAGAUACCCGUGUAGUC
rnacentral:rRNA from 1 species